UGAGGAGAACAUUUGAAGUCAGUGUUUUAAACUAUAAACAGGUGGUGCAACAAAUUCAGCUGCAAAUCUGUGAAGCUUUGUGUACAUGACACCUGCAGAAAUCAUUUUGUUGCUGGAAAAAUGUAUCCUUUGCCCUGUAUACAGGUGCAGGCCUGUGUGUUACAGUAUGUCCUAUGACCCUACAGAGAGGAUAUAAGGCUGACUGCAGCAUGAAACAGAAACCAGGCCAGCUGAGACCAUGCAAAAAUCUCAGGAAGUCCUCAGUACUGCAUUGCAGAGGAAAAUCAGCAGGGGUAAAAGACCAAGGCUUUUCAUCUCUCGAAACAAGACACUUUUAAUGAAACUUCUGUCCUUCCACUGAAAGUCCAUGCUUAACCAUACUUGUGUGACGCAAGAACAAACCUCAUUGGUUCUCGUGGAUAAAUCAGGUUGUGGUCAUCUAUCAUGUCAUCUGCAACGGAGGUGUAAUUUUUCUUGUGAUUGUCAUCGUAGCGGUGCUAACAACAGGAUAUUUCUCCAAGUAAAAACAGAUUUGCUGAUUAUGAGGGCUCACCCAUAUUUUGGGUUACCUAAUUCUGCAUUACAUUUAAAUUCAUGCAUUUGCCAGAUGGUUUAAUCCAAAGCAGCUUGUGCAGAAUAAGGUACACAUUUUAUUGAGUUAAGUUAUCCAAACAGUAGACUACUUUUCAAGUACUUCUUUUGUUUUUUAUUUCUAGUUUGAUGUCUGGAUUAUGUCAUCUGCAGUACAUUCCAGUCUGAGCCUUUACUUGUGAUUGCCAUCAUAACGGCGAUAACAUCAACUGGUAAAUUAGACAAUGUAAACUAGUUAAAAGAGAUAUGCAUUUUUUAUCUUAAUCCAUUCCCUGGGAAUCAACUCCAUUAUUUCAUCAAUGUAACACUUUGCUCUACUGUUUGAUCUAUGAAUGCAUUGUAAGGAAUGGAGCUUUAAUUAUCUGUGAUGGAUUAAAAAACUAAUUGCACUUUCCUUGUAGGAGGUGCAUUCAGAUUACAUUAUA